rnacentral:rRNA from 1 species
GAGGAAUAUUGGUCAAUGGGGGCAACCCUGAACCAGCCAAGUCGCGUGAAGGAUGAAGGUCUUAUGGAUUGUAAACUUCUUUUAUACAGGAAUAAAUUGGGGGACGUGUCCCCUUUUGCAUGUACUGUAUGAAUAAGGAUCGGCUAACUCCGUGCCAGCAGCCGCGGUAAUACGGAGGAUCCGAGCGUUAUCCGGAUUUAUUGGGUUUAAAGGGUGCGCAGGCGGGAUGUUAAGUCGGCGGUGAAAUUUUGCAGCUCAACUGUAAAAGUGCCUUCGAUACUGGCUUCCUUGAGUGUAGAUGAAGUAGGCGGAAUGUGUGGUGUAGCGGUGAAAUGCUUAGAUAUCACGAGGAACUCCGAUUGCGCAGGCAGCUUACUAAACUACAACUGACGCUCAUGCACGAAGGCUUGGGGAUCAAACA